rnacentral:rRNA from 1 species
CCAAGGAGUCUAACAGGUGCGCAAAUCUCAGGGUACAUAUAUUAACCCCGGGGGUGUAACGAAAGUGAAGAACUUGUUGCAAGUUUAAGGAAGGAAACGGUGUAAUACAUAUUACAAUCUGUUGCAAUUCCGUUCUGCCAUGAUCGGAGCAAUCGUGAUGUGGUGGAAAGAGAGCGUACAUGUUGGGACCCGAAAGAUGGUGAACUAUGCCUGGGCAGGGUGAAGCCAGAGGAAACUCUGGUGGAGGUCCGAAGCGAUUCUGACGUGCAAAUCGAUCGUCAAACCUGGGUAUAGGGGCGAAAGACUAAUCGAACCAUCUA